rnacentral:rRNA from 1 species
UACGUAGGGUGCGAGCGUUGUCCGGAAUUACUGGGCGUAAAGAGCUCGUAGGUGGUUUGUCGCGUUGUUCGUGAAAACCUGAGGCUUAACCUUGGGCGUGCGGGCGAUACGGGCAGACUGGAGUACUGCAGGGGAGACUGGAAUUCCCGGUGUAGCGGUGAAAUGCGCAGAUAUCGGGAGGAACACCGGUGGCGAAGGCGGUUCUCUGGGCCUGACCUGACGCUGAGGAGCGAAAGCCAGGGGAUCAAACGGG